CAGCAGUGGGGAAUAUUGGACAAUGGGCGCAAGCCUGAUCCAGCAAUGCCGCGUGGGUGAAGAAGGUUUUCGGAUUGUAAAGCCCUUUUGGCAGGGACGAUGAUGACGGUACCUGCAGAAUAAGCCCCGGCUAACUUCGUGCCAGCAGCCGCGGUAAUACGAAGGGGGCUAGCGUUGCUCGGAAUGACUGGGCGUAAAGGGCGCGUAGGCGGCGAUCAAAGUCAGGCGUGAAAUUCCUGGGCUCAACCUGGGGGCUGCGUUUGAUACUUGGUUGCUAGAGUGGGGAAGAGGGUCGUGGAAUUCCCAGUGUAGAGGUGAAAUUCGUAGAUAUUGGGAAGAACACCGGUGGCGAAGGCGGCGACCUGGUCCUUGACUGACGCUGAGGCGCGAAAGCGUGGGGAGCAAACAGGAUUAGA
rnacentral:rRNA from 1 species